GAGUUUGAUUAUGGCUCAGAACGAACGCUGGCGGCGCGUCUUAAGCAUGCAAGUCGAACGGUAAGGGAGAGCUUGCUCUCCCCUAGAGUGGCGGACUGGUGAGUAACGCGUAGGUGACCUACCCUGAAGAUGGGGAUAGCUAGUAGAAAUAUUAGAUAAUACCGAAUAAGCUCAUUUGCAUAAAGGCAGAUGAGGAAAGGGGCUACGGCUCCGCUUUAGGAUGGGCCUGCGUCCCAUUAGCUAAGUUGGUGAGGUAAAGGCUUACCAAGGCAACGAUGGGUAUCCGGCCUGAGAGGGUGAACGGACACAUUGGGACUGAGAUACGGCCCAAACUCCUACGGGAGGCAGCAGCUAAGAAUCUUCCGCAAUGGACGAAAGUCUGACGGAGCGACGCCGUGUGAAUGAAGAAGGCUGAAAAGUUGUAAAAUUCUUUUGCAGAUGAAGAAUAAGGAUAGGAGGGAAUGCCUAUCUGAUGA
rnacentral:rRNA from 1 species